CCUGCUGCGUAUUUCCCGCGGCUCAGAGGCUUGUAGCCCGAAGUGUAAAAAUAGAAAGUGUCUAAAUUACAUAAGCUCAGCUUUGGAAACAAAAAAAGGGGAACUGGAGGGCGUUUCUAGAGACAGACUCUUUUUAGAGAUUUAUCGACUGGGCGCCCGGGUGGCUCAGUCGGUUGGGCGACUGCCUGCGGCUCGGGUCAUGAUCCUGGAGUCCCGGGAUCGAGCCCCGCGUCGGGCUCCCUGCUCGGCGGGGAGUCUGCUUCCCCCUCUGCCCUCUUCCCUCUUGUGCUGUCUCUCACUCUCUCAAAUAAAUCAAGUCUUUAAAAAAAAAAAAAAAGAAGAAGAAGAAAGUGAGAAGACGGGGGCGCCUGGGUGGCUCAGUCGGUUAGGCGACUGCCCUCGGCUCAGGUCGUGAUCCUGGAGUCCCUGGAUCGAGCCCCGCGUCGGGCUCCCUGCUCGGCGGGGGGUCUGCUUCUCCCUCUGACCCUCCCCCCUCUCCUGCUCUCUCUCUCCCCCAUUCUCUCUCUCAGAUAAAUAAAUAAAAUCUAAAAAAAAAAGACUUAUGGACCGAUUCAGAGGGAGCGUGAGCAGGGCGGGGGCCGGGCCGAGGCAGGGGGCCUCCCCCGCCUUACGCUUCCCGCCGCCGGCGGGUCACAGGGUCGGUCAGCGGGGACGCCAGCGUCCCUGACCGCAGGCGGAGAGAAAACGCGGCGACGUACUCGGCGACGCGGGAGUCACGGGAGAGAUCCCCGCGGGCAGGCAAGGGGCGCGGUUCCAGGACACGUCUUGCUUCGGACACUCGCCGGCCAGGGGAGAAAAUCAAAACCCCAGUGAGAUCUCCCACGGACCUGCAGGAAGAGCUCGAAUUCAGCACGUGACCACACCGAGCAUGGGCAGGAUGGGGAGCAGCUAAAGCCCCAUCCGCUGACGGUGAGAACGUCAAACAGCGUGAGCACUUGGGAGGCCAGUUUCACCGUUUCUCCAACAGUCUUGUGUAGGUGUGCAUAUGGCAGCCUCAUUUGUGAGAGCCCGAAGCUGGAAACAGCCCCGACGUCCACGGAGUGUGGUGGAGCCAUCCGAUGGGACAGAGCCCAGCAGCAGAGCAGAAUGUAUUCACACUGAACCCACUAAAAACAAGAAGGCAAACAUUGUGCCACAUUUUGGCCUGUAUUGUGAUGUAGGAACGAGAAGAAAAUGAAAGCCUGUGGUCUGGUGAGGUCCGAGAGGUGGGGCUCAUCGUUCCAGCCAGAUGGCGCUGGGCCCCGCCUCUCCUGCGGGGGAAUCGGUCUGCUUGCUGAUAAAGCACAGCCUGGGAAGUCACACUGCAGAAACGACGCAGCGUCAGGAGCCCACGCAGGAAGAGCCCUGGACUGAGGAUGAGCAGGUGAAACCGGGCAGAAGGAGCUGAAGGCUGAGCCGGGCAAGAGUCAGGCGCUUCAGUCCGCCAGUAGGUGCCAUCAUGAGCAUCGCUGGAAGAUCCCUGGAGGCGUGGAGGUAGCAGGUCCUGGCCGCAGUGUGCUCGGAGACUGGACGUCACCCUCGAGGGCGACAACGAGGAGAAGGAGGAAGAGAGCAGGGAGGGACGAGGACAAGGAUUCCGGACUGUGCCCUCAAAGCUUCGGCUCAUUGAGAGGAAUCCCAGAGGCCCAGAACACAUGUCACGUGUCAAUUUCUGGAUCUGCCACCGAGGACCGUGGGCUCCGAGUCUGCAGUGAGGGACUGAGGCUCUCAGCUGGCUGGUGAAUCUGGCUGCCUGGAACCAGACUCCCCACGCAGUCCUGCAGUUCUCUCUAUGAGCAGGAAGGACAAGAUGCUGUAGAGGGUUCCCUGAUGGCUGGAUGUCCGUGUGACUCCCCGAAGGCUCAAUACAGCUGCAGUUUGAUAGGAAUGAGGGGGACCAGAAGGCUCCUGAAACUAAGGAACAGCUUCUUUUGCAGCCCAACAGCUUGGGAAGCAGAAACCAUCAGCUGCAUCAUCAAGCCUUAGGUCUCUGGACCAGUAAGUACCACAUUCCCUGCCACGGCCAGCCCCGUGCGGCCCAAGCACUCACUGACUCCUGAGUCACCCUGGACUCCAUACACCUGUUUC